AAAAAUUUAGUUAAAAUAUAACAUUAGUUUGUCAGACUAAAAUUAUUCUUUGAAUAAUUUUUA
rnacentral:tRNA from 1 species